rnacentral:rRNA from 1 species
CCCUUAUAUUUUCUGGGCCGCACGCGCGCUACACUGAUGCAUUCAACGAGUCUAAAACCUGCUCUGAUAGGGGUGGGUAAUCUUUUGAAUGUGCAUCGUGAUUGGGAUAGAUGAUUGCAAUUUUUCAUCUUCAACGAGGAAUGCCUAGUAAACGCAAGUCAUCAGCUUGCAUUGAUUACGUCCCUGCCCUUUGUACACACCGCCCGUCGCUCCUACCGAUUGAAUGAUCCGAUGAAUAUCAUGGAUUGAGGAUGCAAGCAGGUUCGCCUGUCUUCAUCUUCGAGAAGUGAAGUAAAUCUUAUCAUUUAGAGGAAGGAGAAGUCGUAACA